GGAGGAUUGGUGCCCCAAGGGACGGGGCAAAUUGCCAUCCCUAUACAAUUUAAGCAACAAUCAUCCAAAUAAAAUUGAAUUUGACAAAAAAAAAAUACCAUUACCAUAUAAGCUAAAAUUAAAUGAACUUAUUUGCUUCUCAUAUUCACUGUAAAAACAGUUAUAAUCAGGCCAGUGCAAACCUAAUAGACACUCGUACUACACAUUUAAAAAAAUUCAGGCUAAGGGCUGAGAAAAAAAAAUUGGCUGGGCUCAUCUUAUGUGGUGAGUUGUUCCAGGAACAAGUCAGCCCAGCUCAGAAAAAAUUACUGCUCUAAUAAUGACUUGGUCCCAUGACAAAAACAGAAGAGUAGACUUUCUCCAUUAACAAAAUUCUUAUUAUGGAAAGAAACAAGGGGCUGUAGAAUAUAUAU
rnacentral:misc_RNA from 1 species